GAAACUGAGGAGUGGAGAAGCAAGCAAGUAUGCAGCAGCAGCAGUAGCAGGGGGCAGCAGCACAGAAAGAGCCCUGUUACUGAAGUGAAGUCAGACAGAGUGCGUGCAAGCAAACAUGCAUAACUAUCUGCGUAUACAGCUUUUUACUGCAUUUUUGAAGUAUUCAAUGAACUUUUAAAUAAGACUCAAUUUAUCAAAUGAGAUUUUUCCAGCUGAACAUCAUAGACACAAAUGUUAGUUGCACAGUCAGAACAGACUGAAAUGGCUGAUAGCAAUGCCAGGCCAUCAUAACAACUAACACCCAUUAACAACCACAUUAAUUUCUGCAAAAAGAAAAUGCCAUUUAUAUGAGCUCACCUCCUCUGGGCUUCGUGUCUGAACAAGACCUAAUCAGCUAAAAGCAGCACUGGAAGUAAUGCAGUGUAUUCCCAGCACUACCUACACUUGGUUGUGUACCCCUCUGUUUGCAGGUACCCAGGAUUUCACAACACAAUUUCGCCUUUUUUUCCCCUCAUUUUAACAUUUUAAAUCCCAGCUAGAAAAACUGUAUCAUCGACAUAUAGCAUGAUGUCCUCUUAUAUGUGAAAUAAACUUUACUGAUAUUA